CUUCCAGCCGGGCUGGGGUGGGGGGAGGGGCCGGGCUGAGGCGGCGGCGGCGGCGGCGGCUCGGCUGCUCGCUUGGGGAGGGCACGGCGAGCAAGGGCGGGACUGGCCCGCUGCGGGAGGACUGGGGAGCCGCGGAGAUAACGGGUCCAGACGCUGGCGGCGGCGGCGGCUUUCUCUGCACUGGCGGAGGCGGCAGCAGGAGCGGCGAGUAUGGCCCGCGCGGCGCUCGGCGCUGACUGAGAGUCAUGCUGCGGCAGCCUGGUGCCUGACGAGUGAGGGGAACCUGCCAGGGGAUUACUGCUAGCUCAAGGCAGGACAGAGGCCUCAAGGGAGCGGAGAUGGGCAGAGCAGCCUCCAAGCCUGGGCCAGCAGCACCAAGACGGAGGCCUGGGCCCUGGCCUGGAGCUCGGCUCACACUCGCUCGGCUGACCCUGAUGGCGUUCGAAGCAACACCCUGCUGAGAAGCGGCUGUUCCCAGGCCCCAGAGGACCUCAGAGCAGGAGCUGGAGUUUGACCACCCCUACACAACUGCAGUUGGGGCUGCGACCGUCGGGGGAAGGGGCUGGCGCCUCGGAUGGGAAGUAGAAGGGCAGAACCUAACGCCAGGAGGAUCUUGGUCUCUGAAGAGUUUUCUGGAACCCACGGAGCUUCCUGGGUUUCUUCUCUCUGGAUUGGGGCUUGGUUCCCUCUCCUCCCCUGGCAGAGGGGUUGGGCCCUGAGGGCCAACUGAGAGAGGGAAGACUCUUAAAUGAAAUUCAGGCUGCCUGAAGCCCACGUGCUCUCUGCUAUGAUUGGGGUUCAAGGGCUUCCCUGCUGCAGGGGACAAGGGGCCGCCUCGGCAUCUGCUCAUGAGCCACAAGGACCCCGAAUGCUCCAGACUGGAUCGUUUCAAGCCGCCAAAGAGGGGGACCCCCACAGCUGGCAGCCAGCAACCCCAAGGGACUAGAGGGCUGGGAUGGACUGACCUCCCCCUUGCCAGGGCUCUGGGAGAAGCAGAGCCUCUGUGGCCCAGCUAGUGACGGAGAGACCCAAUGAAGCCAUAAGCAGGGCCAGGCGGCUCAGGGACAGGGGAGCCACUGCUGCCGACGUGCUUUUUCCUGACGCUGAGGGAGGGCGUAGUGUGGGACCUCUGCCCCUGUCCCCUCCCUGGCACUUGCCCAUAUGCCCUUUGCGUGUGGUGCCAGAACAAGCAGGCUACGCUGUGGCUGGCCCAUCAGCGGGCUGGGAAAGGAGUGGCCACGGUGACACCUGCCUGACUGCCGGGCUGAGGCCCCAGCUCCCCAGGGCGCCGAACCAUGAAGUGCUCCCUGCGGGUGUGGUUCCUCUCCGUGGCCUUCCUGCUGGUGUUCAUCAUGUCACUGCUGUUCACCUACUCCCACCACAGCAUGGCCACCCUGCCCUACCUGGACUCGGGCGCCCUGGACGGGACCCACCGGGUGAAGCUGGUGCCCGGCUACACCGGCCUUCAGCGCCUCAGCAAGGAGGGGCCCGCCGGCAAGAGCUGUGCCUGUCGCCGCUGCAUGGGCGACGCCGGCGCCUCUGAGUGGUUUGAUAGCCACUUCAACAGCAACAUUUCCCCGGUCUGGACCCGGGAGAACAUGGACCUGCCCCCAGAGGUCCAGAGGUGGUGGAUGAUGUUGCAGCCUCAGUUCAAGUCACACAACACCAACGAGGUGCUGGAGAAGCUGUUCCAGAUAGUACCAGGCGAGAACCCCUACCGUUUCCGGGACCCCCGCCUGUGCCGGCGCUGUGCUGUGGUGGGGAACUCGGGCAACCUGCGGGGCUCUGGCUACGGGCCGGAUGUGGACGGGCACAACUUCAUCAUGAGGAUGAAUCAGGCGCCAACCGUGGGCUUUGAGCAGGAUGUCGGCAGCCGAACCACCCACCAUUUCAUGUACCCCGAGAGUGCCAAGAACCUGCCCGCCAACGUCAGCUUCGUGCUGGUGCCCUUCAAAGCCCUGGACCUACUGUGGAUCGCCAGCGCCCUGUCCACGGGGCAGAUCCGAUUCACCUAUGCCCCAGUGAAGUCCUUCCUUCGAGUGGACAAAGAAAAGGUCCAGAUCUACAACCCAGCCUUCUUCAAGUACAUCCACGACAGGUGGACAGAGCAUCACGGGCGGUACCCUUCCACGGGGAUGCUGGUACUCUUCUUUGCUCUGCAUGUGUGUGAUGAGGUGAACGUGUACGGGUUCGGGGCCGACAGCCGGGGCAACUGGCACCACUACUGGGAGAAUAACCGGUACGCGGGCGAGUUCCGGAAGACAGGCGUGCAUGACGCCGACUUCGAGGCCCACAUCAUCGACAUGCUGGCCAAGGCCAGCAAGAUCGAGGUCUACCGAGGGAACUGAGCCCGACCCAGCCGUGACUCUUCCGCCCCUACCGCGAAGCGCCGGCAAGCGCUCCAGCCGGGACUCAGAGUCAGCCUGGGGGUGGUGGCCUAAGCGCGGGCGCGGCGCUCUAUUGGGCGUCAGCAGGCAAUCGGGAGCGACGCCGCCGCAGUCUGGACCAAUCAUGCUUCAGUCUAGCGAGCGCCGGCUAUCCUCCGCCAAUCACGAGACUCUGGGCGCUGGCCGGGCCUAGCAUCAAUCAGCGCUGGCGACGGCCGGAGCCUCUGUUUCUCACAGCCAAUCAUGCGACUCAAGGAGAACUUCCGGCGCUGGGGCCCGUCUCCUCCAAUCAAUGGCCUUCGGAGGCGGGCCGGCGGCCGAUCAAUCCCCACUCCCGUAUGCUUUUGGGUAGGAUUUUAUCGAUUUUUCACGCUUUCAAAGGAGCAGAAGUUUGUUCCGGCCCCGAGAAGUACUUUCCUCAGGCUCGGGCGGAGGCGGCUCAGUCGCCGGCCGGCCUGACCCCGCAGGGGGCGCGGAGGAGGAAACGGUGGGGAAGGUGAGGGACAGUAGCGGCCCGGCCUCCCCUUUCCGGUGGUCCCUCGUGGCGGAGGGGCGUUCGCGGAGGCUUUCGGGAGGUCGGCGGGUGGUCAGGUGGUUUCCAAGGAGCGCGUUUUUCCCCAGGGGAAAAGUUAGAGCCCUCCCAAACCGCUCUGGACUUCCGAGAGAACUAGACCUCACAUUUCCUUUAUCGGUCAGGCGCAGAUGGGUAUACAUCCUGAGUGAGUCUCAGCUGGGCUCAGAGAGGAGCGGGACUGGUAUUUUCACCGUGGGCAGCAACACAGUGGAAGCCCCCAUGUGCCUAUCACUAGGAGCCAUGAUGUAAUGCUGGGGCAGCUACACGCUGGAAUGAUGCUUGUUGAGAGUGAGGCACAUCCCUGGCACAUGUCCAAGAUACACGGCCACAGGGAAGGAACCUGGUCCCCCAGCACGAAGUGGAGCUGGCUGAGAGGGAGGGCGCAGGGCCACACCCUCCAGUGGAGCUCCCCCCCCCCAGGCCUCCUCCUGCUGCCGCUGCUACUCACAUGGCAGAAGAUCAUGGCUUGAGCAAUGGUGAUGGCCCCGUAGAUAUUACACAAGGCCUGGAACUUCUCAUCUCUGCUAUUGCACAGGACGUAAUACUGCUUGAUGGUGUCCAGUGUCUCCUCCUCGCGCUUCAGUUUGAUGAUGUUUGGGUCUGGAACCACUUUCUGGGCAAAUUUCCAGACAGAGUCUUCGAAGGUGGCAGAGAAAAGCAGCAUCUGGCAGUUCCUGGGAAGCAUCCUGCAAGGGAAGGCCCAGGUGUUCGACAUGACCCCGACCCAGUGUUUCACUGCAAGGAACAGAAGCACAGCCUCCCCAGGCUUGGAUGACCUGCGUCCCCAGGAAGGUGGCAAAGCAGGGAGGAGCACUGCAGGGAGGAGGGAGGAGCAGACGUGGGGCAGGCAUGGGUGGUGGUAGAGUCCCUAAGUCUCCUUCCUCAACCCAGGCUGGGGGUAUGGUCAGUGCGACAUGGAAAUGGCCCACCAAACAAAUGCCUCUGAAAGCUGCAGAGUAAAGAACUGGCAGAGCCAAGAAGACGAGGAGGGUGAAGUAAAAGGAGAUGAUGCUGCAGAUCAGGAGGCCGAGAAGCUCCUCCUGGCUCAGGAGUUCCUACCUCUGGAUGCGGAUGCUCUGAUCUUGGUGGCCCUGAGUGGCUAUCAUCACGUCAGCCUCAUCCAGAACAAACACCUUGAUCUUCUUGGGGUCAAUGAACUUGAGCUUGGAGCACCAGUCCAGAACGGUCCCAGGGGUGCCAAUGACAAUGUGCUCACUGAUCUUCUGACCUCUUUCCACUGUGGAGACAAGAUGUGUUCUGUGGGUACUUCCGUGGCUAAACCCGCUUUCAAAAUGAAAGCCUCCUUGCCCAUCCUUCCAGAGCUAGAACAAGUUAAUUCCAGAUUUCAAACCACAGGAGUGUUACCCAAAAGUUUUGUGUUCUUCUACUAUAAAAUGGGCAUAAUGACACCCAUCUCACUGCACUGUGGUCAGGAUUAAAUCCUACACAGUCAACCCUCCAUGAGUGUUAGUUUCCCUUUUUCUACUUUCUCCUGUAAUUCCCCAUCACCCAAUUCUUUCUCUUUAGCAUAACACUUAUUCUUUUUAUACCAUCCCUUCACUCAUGGUUCAUUGAUUUCCUUAUAAAUUGGUAGUUUUUAGUCCUAGCAUCCUGGCCCAGUGAUUUUUUGCUUUGUUAGAUAUUCUAAUUGUGUAGACAGUUUUCCUAAGUACAAAUUCUCUUUGAUUGAAAAAAACACAUUACUCUCAAACUAUAGCUGGUGGGAGUUGAAACUGAUAUAACCAUCUAUCAAAAUUACUAAUGCAUGUAGCCUUUGACCAGUGCUUCCACUAUUACGAAUCAAUCCUGUAUGUACAUGAAUAUGUGUGAAAUAACAUAUAUGCAAGGAUAUGCAUUCAUUAAAACAUAACUAAGCAAAAUAUGACGCACCGAAUGGAUGACACCAACAAAAGUAUAAAACUGUUUAGGAACUGAUGUGGAACAGUCUCCAAAAUACAUUAUUAAAUGUGAAAAAGAGGUUGCAGAGCAAUUUGUA